UACGUAGGUGGCAAGCGUUGUCCGGAUUUACUGGGCGUAAAGCGUAUGCAGGCGGAUACUUAAGUAGGAAGUGAGAGGUGGGAGCUCAACUCCCACAUUGCUCCCUAUACUGGGUGUCUUGAGUGGCGGAGAGGGAGAUGGAACGACACGUGUAGCGGUGAAAUGCGUUGAUAUGUGUCGGAACACCAAUGGCGAAAGCAAUCUCCUGGACGCAAACUGACGCUGAGAUACGAAAGCCAAGGUAGCAAACAGG
rnacentral:rRNA from 1 species